rnacentral:rRNA from 1 species
UUAGGGAAUUUUCACACUGGGCGCAAGCCUGAUGGAGUAACGCCGCGUGGGUGAUGACGGCCUUCGGGUUGUAAAGCCCUUUUCUGGGGGACGACAGAAGGACGGUACCCCAGGAAGAAGCCUCGGCUAACUACGUGCCAGCAGCCGCGGUAAUACGUAGGAGGCGAGCGUUGUCCGGAAUUACUGGGCGUAAAGCGCGUGUAGGCGGUCGGAAACGUCGAGGAUGAAAGCCCUCUGCUCAACGGGGGGAGUGUUCACGAAACGGCCCGACUCACUGGAGUCUGGUAGGGGGGUGCGGAAUGGCCGGUGGAGCGGUGAAAUGCGUAGAGAUCGGUCAGAACACCAGUGGCGAAGGCGGCACCCUGGGCCAGAACUGACGCUGAGACGCGAAAGCGUGGGGAGCGAACGGAAUUAGAUACCCCCGUAGUCC